GUACACAAAAAUGCACAUACUGUGAGCUCGAUGAGUAGGGCGGGACACGUGGUAUCCUGUCUGAAUAUGGGGGGACCAUCCUCCAAGGCUAAAUACUCCUGACUGACCGAUAGUGAACCAGUACCGUGAGGGAAAGGCGAAAAGAACCCCGGCGAGGGGAGUGAAAAAGAACCUGAAACCGUGUACGUACAAGCAGUGGGAGCCUCUUAAUGGGGUGACUGCGUACCUUUUGUAUAAUGGGUCAGCGACUUAUAUUCUGUAGCAAGGUUAACCGAAUAGGGGAGCCGAAGGGAAACCGAGUCUUAACUGGGCGUUAAGUUGCAGGGUAUAGACCCGAAACCCGGUGAUCUAGCCAUGGGCAGGUUGAAGGUUGGGUAACACUAACUGGAGGACCGAACCGACUAAUGUUGAAAAAUUAGCGGAUGACUUGUGGCUGGGGGUGAAAGGCCAAUCAAACCGGGAGAUAGCUGGUUCUCCCCGAAAGCUAUUUAGGUAGCGCCUCGUGAAUUCAUCUCCGGGGGUAGAGCACUGUUUCGGCAAGGGGGUCAUCCCGACUUACCAACCCGAUGCAAACUGCGAAUACCGGAGAAUGUUAUCACGGGAGACACACGGCGGGUGCUAACGUCCGU
rnacentral:rRNA from 1 species